ensembl:snoRNA LOC120099443 small nucleolar RNA SNORA70
AUGAACAAUUAAGCUGACUUUCCUCAUGGGAGCCUGCUGUGCAAUGGUUGAAAACUGGCAGGCUCCUUGGGGGUGAAUUCACUGUUACCUAUAUGGAUUGCCCGAAGGGAACUUGGAGACAAUU